rnacentral:rRNA from 1 species
UACGUAGGGUGCAAGCGUUAUCCGGAAUUAUUGGGCGUAAAGAGCUCGUAGGCGGUUUGUCGCGCCUGCUGUGAAAACUGGGGGCUCAACCCCCAGCCUGCAGUGGGUACGGGCAGACUAGAGUGCGGUAGGGGAGAUUGGAAUUCCUGGUGUAGCGGUGGAAUGCGCAGAUAUCAGGAGGAACACCGAUGGCGAAGGCAGAUCUCUGGGCCGUAACUGACGCUGAGGAGCGAAAGCAUGGGGAGCGAACAGG